UACGUAGGGUGCAAGCGUUAUCGGAAUUAUUGGGCGUAAAGAGCUCGUAGGCGGUCUGUCACGUCGCUGUGAAAAACCGAGGCUCAACCCUGGGCCUGCAGUCGGAGUACGGCAGACUAGAGUUGGUAGGGGAGGACUGGAAUUCCUGGUGUAGCGGUGAAAAUGCGCAGAUAUCAGGAGGAACACCGGUGGCGAAGGCGGAU
rnacentral:rRNA from 1 species